CUUUAGCCCUGAUUGAGCGGCAUGUUUGAGCUUUUUCUUUAGUUUAGGCUGCGGCGGCUUUGCCGCCGCAGCCUAAACUAAAGAAAAAGCGAGUAGCGAAAGCAGGUUCCCGG
rnacentral:misc_RNA from 1 species